GACGAACGCUGGCGGCGUGCCUAAUACAUGCAAGUCGAACGAACUCUGGUAUUGAUUGGUGCUUGCAUCAUGAUUUACAUUUGAGUGAGUGGCGAACUGGUGAGUAACACGUGGGAAACCUGCCCAGAAGCGGGGGAUGACACCUGGAAACAGAUGCUAAUACCGCAUAACAACUUGGACCGCAUGGUCCGAGUUUGAAAGAUGGCUUCGGCUAUCACUUUUGGAUGGUCCCGCGGCGUAUUAGCUAGAUGGUGGGGUAACGGCUCACCAUGGCAAUGAUACGUAGCCGACCUGAGAGGGUAAUCGGCCACAUUGGGACUGAGACACGGCCCAAACUCCUACGGGAGGCAGCAGUAGGGAAUCUUCCACAAUGGACGAAAGUCUGAUGGAGCAACGCCGCGUGAGUGAAGAAGGGUUUCGGCUCGUAAAACUCUGUUGUUAAAGAAGAACAUAUCUGAGAGUAACUGUUCAGGUAUUGACGGUAUUUAACCAGAAAGCCACGGCUAACUACGUGCCAGCAGCCGCGGUAAUACGUAGGUGGCAAGCGUUGUCCGGAUUUAUUGGGCGUAAAGCGAGCGCAGGCGGUUUUUUAAGUCUGAUGUGAAAGCUUCGGCUCAACCGAAGAAGUGCAUCGGAAACUGGGAAACUUGAGUGCAGAAGAGGACAGUGGAACUCCAUGUGUAGCGGUGAAAUGCGUAGAUAUAUGGAAGAACACCAGUGGCGAAGGCGGCUGUCUGGUCUGUAACUGACGCUGAGGCUCGAAAGUAUGGGUAGCAAACAGGAUUAGAUACCCUGGUAGUCCAUACCGUAAACGAUGAAUGCUAAGUGUUGGAGGGUUUCCGCCCUUCAGUGCUGCAGCUAACGCAUUAAGCAUUCCGCCUGGGGAGUACGGCCGCAAGGCUGAAACUCAAAGGAAUUGACGGGGGCCCGCACAAGCGGUGGAGCAUGUGGUUUAAUUCGAAGCUACGCGAAGAACCUUACCAGGUCUUGACAUACUAUGCAAAUCUAAGAGAUUAGACGUUCCCUUCGGGGACAUGGAUACAGGUGGUGCAUGGUUGUCGUCAGCUCGUGUCGUGAGAUGUUGGGUUAAGUCCCGCAACGAGCGCAACCCUUAUUAUCAGUUGCCAGCAUUAAGUUGGGCACUCUGGUGAGACUGCCGGUGACAAACCGGAGGAAGGUGGGGAUGACGUCAAAUCAUCAUGCCCCUUAUGACCUGGGCUACACACGUGCUACAAUGGAUGGUACAACGAGUUGCGAACUCGCGAGAGUAAGCUAAUCUCUUAAAGCCAUUCUCAGUUCGGAUUGUAGGCUGCAACUCGCCUACAUGAAGUCGGAAUCGCUAGUAAUCGCGGAUCAGCAUGCCGCGGUGAAUACGUUCCCGGGCCUUGCACACACCGCCCGUCACACCAUGAGAGUUUGUAACACCCAAAGUCGGUGGGGUAACCUUUUAGGAACCAGCCGCCUAAGGUGGGACAGAUGAUUAGGGUG
rnacentral:rRNA from 1 species